GAUCUUGCUAUGUUGCCCAGCAUGGUCUUGAACUCCUGUGCUCAGGCGACUCUUCCACCUUGGCCCUCCAAAGCACUGGGAUUACUGGCAUGAGUCACCAUAUCUGGUCAUAGAAACAGGAAGCUGGCGCAUGCAACAGGGUGGGCUACAGGCUUUGAUAGAAUGGUGGCUAACAACAACAACUGGUAUUUGUCAGAUGUCUACACUGUGCAUGGCAUUAUGUCAGGUGAUCUACAAGCUUUACGUCAAUGGAUUCUUACUGAAACCCUUUGAGCAGUUCCCAGAGCUUAUCGCACCAUCUGUGAAAUCUGAAGUAUUGUUGUGAGGAUUCAAUGGAGUAAUAUCUGCUGAUGUGCGAACCACAGAGCCUGCAGGAGAGAGGCAGCAAAGAACAAAUGUCCAUUUCACACCCAGGUGGAAAGGCCCAUUAGAGUCUACCAGUGAGGAAAUCAUUUUCUAAGGGUGAUUACACACGCAGAUGUCAAAACCCUCAGUAAAGCUCAGAGAUCGUUAUUUUUAGUCCCCACUUAAAAAUGGAGAAACUGAGACUUCGCGAGAUCAAGCAAUUUAGGCAAGCCCACACAACAGGUCAACUCCAAACAGGCUUUUUCCUUUGGAUGAGUCCAGCAAUAGAACUGACUACAUAGAUUCCAAGACCUGAAGUCAGAAAACGGAUGCGGACCUCUUCCAACACCUCCUCUCCUUGCCUGACUUGCUGGAUGGGUGGUGCCUCCCGCAACCCUUGGCUUCUGAGUCCUCAAAGGAGAAGACUGGCGAGCAGACGGUGAGGACCCAGCCUGCAAUCACAGCUUAUUACUCUGGGUGUGGGUGGGAGCGCAGUGGGCGGUCGAGGGUUGCGUUCCCGCCUCAAAACAAGGGAUGGCGGAAUCCCCCAACCCCUCCUACCCGUUCA